UGAGUUCGCGGGAGAGUAGGUUAUUGCCAGGGUUUUUAUUUUUAUACUUUAAACUUUGAUUUUAUUUUUAUGUUUUUUAAAUAUUGGUGUUUUUGAAUGUGUUGUUUAAAUAACAUAAAAAAUAAAAUAUAUAUUGACAUGUAUUAAACAAAGAUAUAUAUUAUUUUAUGUUGUAUAAAUAAAUUGGCAAAAUAGAGAUGGAAGAUAAAAAUAUCAAAC
rnacentral:misc_RNA from 1 species